CUAAAACGUCCGUAGCCGGUCUGGUACAUUCGAGGGUAAAUCAACUUGCUCAACUGGUUGAAUGCUGCGAGGACGGCCAGACUUGGGACCGGGAGAGGUGUGGGGUACUCUCAGGGUGGGGGUAAAAUCCUGUGAUCCUGAGAGGACCACCUGUUGCGAAGGCGGCCCACUAAAACGGAUCCGACGGUGCAGGGACGAAGCCUGGGGGCACGAACCGGAUUAGAUACCCGGGUAGUCCUAGGUGUAAACGCUGUGGACUUGAUGUUGGUGAUGCUCCGAGCACUCCCAGGGCCGAAGCGAACGUGAUAAGUCCACUGCCUGGGAAGUACGGCCCCAAGGUUAAAACUUAAAGGAAUUGGCGGGG
rnacentral:rRNA from 1 species